AUGAAACAUUUCAUUGGACGUCUGUUGUCAGCGCUUUAUCAUAACACGUGAGUGUUUCCUUAUUUCCUUUAGAUUCGGUGUUUCCUGCUGGGCGCCUCUGUUUCUACAGUGACCACCACUGAUGAAAGGGAGAGCCGUGAGAGCGAUGCGCAUCCAGCCCCACUUUCUCGCCUGUUCAGGACAGAAUAAGAGGCUGCAGGGCAGAAGGUACCUGCGAAUCCGCUGGGCUUCGUCCCUGGUGAUGACCGUGUCGGUGAUCCCCCGGCCACACUUCCUAGGGGAGCAGCCUGGAGAGAGACGAGCCAGAAUGAGACGCUGACCCCAAGCUGAACCCCAACCACACUGCCACUUGCAUUUGUUGAGGAUUCCCCUGUCGGUGGGCCCCCACCCCUGGGAAAUUUUGUGGGGUGGGGCUGUGCCUUCCACAGGAUUAGGGGGCCAGAUUUGGCAAAUAAAAUACAGGACACCCACAUAGGUGCGAACUUCA